rnacentral:misc_RNA from 1 species
AGUAUAGCGACCACAUCCAUUCCAAUCAUGAGCUAUCUCUCUGGCGUAACGUGUCGAACAUAUGGUGAACUGGAAGCAUGAAAUCAACCAAGUGUGGCGAUUUCACAUGAUGACAUUCUGUCAAAGAAACCGUUAUGUAGUGGUCGACUUCUUGGUUUGAAAAAAAAUAAUUCUGUGAAGAACAAAAAAAAAAUCAAUAGGAAAAGGCCCAAUUCUUCUUUAAAGAGACAGAGGACAAUUAGCGUAGUGAGUGUGGAUUAAUACCACAUGAUCUGAAAAGCUUUACGCGGGCUACAAAUUGGUAGUGAUGUUAGACGAACUAGUGUCUUCUCGGUGUCUGCAGUCAUCGGUUAGGCCCUGUGUGGGCUGUUUUUGCUCCGUGUCCAGGAUUAAUGCUGCACCAUGUGCUUCGCUUUGACUGCACAGUGGUCGGUAAUUUAAGCCACUCGCCCGUUUAUCCCCUUUCAUCAGCUUUUGUUCACUGUUUUGCAGGAUAUCUUUCCAAAUUUAGUCUAAAGGACUUUCUUUUCUUCCAAGGAAUUAAAGAGCGGAUAUUGACUUUGAAGCUGUUGUGUCUAGAAGGAUGCUGCUUUACAUCUCUAAAUCGCUACAUUAUAUCCGUGUGCUUCGUACUGGAAAAGAUGAUUCUUUGGGGAAUUAACAAUCUGUUCAUCAUCCUGCCGUGUGAUCAGCUAAAUUAAUUAAAAGAUAAUCAGACCAUUUGAACAGUCUUCAAUGAAACCGUUUAUGCCUUAUUUUGUAUUAACAAAGUAGCUAUAUUUUGUGUAUGAAUUGUGGAAAAUCAAUCGGUUAGACUUGAAUAUUUGGGUCGGCUCUCUAUAUAGCCUAUGUUGUUUUGUCUGGGCGCUUUCUAUCUUUGUAGCCUUUAGUGAACACUUGGAUUAAAACAUAUAUUUAUUU